UGUUAAAUGAUUGAUCCCGCCUAGGCCCC
rnacentral:piRNA from 1 species